rnacentral:rRNA from 1 species
UACGAAGGGGGCUAGCGUUGCUCGGAAUCACUGGGCGUAAAGCGCACGUAGGCGGAUUGUUAAGUCAGGGGUGAAAUCCUGGAGCUCAACUCCAGAACUGCCUUUGAUACUGGAGAUCUUGAGUCCGGGAGAGGUGAGUGGAACUCGAGUGUAGAGUAGGAAAUUCGUAGAUAUUCGGAAGAACACCAGUGGCGAAGGCGGCUCACUGGUCCGGUACUGACGCUGAGGUGUGAAAGCGUGGGGAGCAAACAGG